rnacentral:lncRNA from 1 species
UGAAGGAAAGUUAACAGUCAGUAGGGGAGCAGUGAGAGAUGUGAGAUCGGGCUCAAGUGUAGUUUUGAAGGGUCAUUAAUCCAAGUUAAAGAGCCUAGACUUUAUUGCACUCACAAUGAAGAAACAUUAAGGGGAAGAAAAUGGCAACUUGAAAGCAGUGUUUAAGCUGGUUGCCCUGUGCAGGGUGGUAGAAACUUCAACUUAUGACUCUAGUAAGCAAGCUAUUAGAGAAAUGAUAGGCCAAAGACAAAAGUCAGCCUGGGGAACUUGACAUCAAUCAAGUAAUUUUUCAAAGUAAUAGUAUUUCCUAGUCUUGAGCCAACCAAUCACCAGUGAGCCUGUGUUUGUGUUCUUUAUUUUUGCCAGUUUCAUGAGUUUGUGGCUUGUGUUUAGGCCUUAAAUUAGAGACAGCUGAUGAAACAACUUAGCAUCAUGGAGAGACUUAGGCAGAAGAGGAUCCUUUUCUUUAAGUUUUAGGGACAUAAUUUUUAAGAAAAAUUUGUUGAUUUCACACCCAAGUGGUCAGAAUCAGCUAUGGAGAAACAAAUAACUGAGUUUUAAAAAACACAUCUGGUGAAGAAGGAUUUGGGUUUUAUAGUCACUGACAUUUGAGAUUAAAUCCAAAGGCUGGGGCAAGUUAUUAGGACUUAACCUUGCUAAGAAAUUAUUUCCUUAUUGCCAC